AGGCCCACAGCAGAGACAAGCCUGUGCAAUUUGUGAUUCUGGACACGGCCCUCUAAGUCUCAGGCACUACGAGGUGUCACUGCUGUUGGCACUGUUUGCUUCUGCAGGCUCUCUCGGACACAAGGGAACCAAGAAGAGCAUCAGGAACGGGCACAUUCUCUGCACACCAGGCCUGGCAGCGGAGUGGCAUGCCGAAGAAAAGAUGGCGUGGAAUCUAACACGCUCUGCACAGAGCUUUGCAGAAAUGGGGUUAUCACAGCAGGCUGGGACGAGCCAACCGCCACAAUGCCAGGGAGAGGAAGGGACGGCUUUUCAGAGAAUUAGUCCACAUUCCAUUUAUAGCACAAGCAGACACAAAGCCCCAUGCCAUUCAUUGUCACAACACACAUGAUUUUUUUUUUACAGACAUUUUACAAUAACAACGGUGGUAUGGGUAGAUUAAAUGUGCAUCUUGUAUUAUGAUGUAUUACAAUGUUGUACUGUGAGUACAAAUGUUUGCACUGAGAACUUUACAUAGUUAUGGUUCUCAUCUCCUAAUGGGCAGGAGGAAAAUGCAGACAAAUUGGGCACGUGAAAGCUUAGGUGAACUGGCAGAUUCACUUUUUACAAUUGUAAAUUGUACAAUUGUAAUUGAGAAUAUAUACUGUAUGUAGUUAUGGAGCUGUAAAAAAAAACAGUACACAGUGAGCGUACUUAGCUUUUUUUUUGUUCACAAGGCAAGGUCAUGUUCAAUGCACUGUGCCAUGGAAAAUGAAUGCGCAAAG